rnacentral:rRNA from 1 species
UGGGGAAUUUUGGACAAUGGGCGAAAGCCUGAUCCAGCCAUGCCGCGUGAGUGAAGAAGGCCUUCGGGUUGUAAAGCUCUUUUAGUCGGAAAGAAAGAGUUGCAAUGAAUAAUUGUGAUUUAUGACGGUACCGACAGAAAAAGCACCGGCUAACUACGUGCCAGCAGCCGCGGUAAUACGUAGGGUGCGAGCGUUAAUCGGAAUUACUGGGCGUAAAGGGUGCGCAGGCGGUCUUGCAAGUCAGAUGUGAAAGCCCCGGGCUUAACCUGGGAAUUGCGUUUGAAACUACAGGGCUAGAGUGCAGCAGAGGGGAGUGGAAUUCCAUGUGUAGCAGUGAAAUGCGUAGAGAUGUGGAAGAACACCGAUGGCGAAGGCAGCCCCCUGGGUUAACACUGACGCUCAUGCACGAAAGCGUGGGGAGCAAACA